rnacentral:tRNA from 1 species
UUCCCAUGUCGGGAAUCAAACCCGGGCCUCCUGGGUGAGCCAGGUAUCCUAGCCACUAGACAAAGUAGGA